UUCCUCCUGACAGCUUGCUUGUCUUCUGGGGCUUUCGCUCAGUGAUGUAGUAGUUACCCCAAAACACAGGCCGCUUAAGACAAGUUAAUUAACUUGCCGGCGAGGUGGGAAGGAUCGCCCAGAGGCGACCUGGGUCUUAAAUAUCAGUUUGUGUCAAUACAUCUGUUUAAAUGUCUAGAGAACCCCCAAGAACUAUUGGAGAGACCAGGGGCUCAACCAUCACGUUCCUGUGUUGCCAUAAAACUGAUGACACUUACAGCAUCACCAGCGAAGAAGAGCCAAAGACUGAGUCUCUUGGGAAGCAGCUGGGCAAACUUCCAGAGGACUGAGCAUGUCUCUGCUGAUGUCAUCAAGGAAACCAGAGUCCUGACUUCCCUGGUGAAAUCAAAGUCUAGAAAGGACAGAGGACUGUUUAGAAGGACAAUCAAUGACAAGAAUUGUUACAAAUGGGUCCUUGCACUCUGUAUGGCUUCCUGGGAACAUCAACACCAUGCCAGAACUCUAAGAGCCUGCAAAGAAAUUCUCCACC
rnacentral:lncRNA from 1 species